UACGUAGGUGGCAAGCGUUGUCCGGAUUUACUGGGCGUAAAGGGCGCGUAGGCGGCACAUUAAGUCAGCUGUGAAAUCUCCGAGCUUAACUCGGAACUGUCAGCUGAUACUGAUGUGCUAGAGUGCGGAAGGGGCAAUCGGAAUUCUUGGUGUAGCGGUGAAAUGCGUAGAUAUCAAGAGGAACACCUGAGGUGAAGACGGGUUGCUGGGCCGACACUGACGCUGAGUGCGCGAAAGCCAGGGGAGCAAACGGG
rnacentral:rRNA from 1 species